rnacentral:rRNA from 1 species
GACGUAGGGCGCGAGCGUUGUCCGGAUUUAUUGGGCGUAAAGAGCUCGUAGGCGGCUUGUCGCGUCGACUGUGAAAACCCGCGGCUCAACUGCGGGCCUGCAGCCGAUACGGGCAGGCUAGAGUUCGGUAGGGGAGACUGGAAUUCCUGGUGUAGCGGUGAAAUGCGCAGAUAUCAGGAGGAACACCGAUGGCGAAGGCAGGUCUCUGGGCCACUACUGACGCUGAGAAGCGAAAGCAUGGGGGAGCGAACAGG